rnacentral:tRNA from 1 species
UAGCCAAGUGGUUAAGGCUAUGGAUCGCCAAUCCGGAGACGGCGGGUUUGAAUCCCGU